UUAGGCGUUUAGAAAGCAUACCUCGUUAAUUCCUCGUAGUUAACGAGGAAAUAACGACGGAAAAAAAAAAGAAAAAGGCGGGCCUCGUUAAUUCCACGUAAGACAAAAUCGUCGUAAAGACCUCGUAAGCUUACGUGGAAUUACCGAGGCCCGUCUUUUAUUUCCUCGUAAUUUCCUCGUGGGUUUACGAGGUUUUAACGAGAUAUUUUGUCUAAACCCCUAAACCCUAAACCCCAAACCCAUCUUUCUUCUAUUUUGUCUAAAUCCCAAACUCCAAACCCCAUUAAUAAUUUUAUAAUUUUCAAAAGAUUAUAUUUUCAAAUCUUCAAAAGAUUAUAUUUUUGUUGCAAAAUAAAUAAUUUUAUUUUGUAUAAGUUUAUAUUAGAAAGAAGAGAUUGAUAUUAGAAGUUAAAGAAUUGUGGUUUUAAAUUUUGAGUUUUGAAAUGUUAAGAAGAUUAUAUUUUCAAAUCUUCAAAAGAUUAUAUUUUUGUUGCAAAAUAGAAAAUUUAAAUAAAUAAUUUGAUUUUGUAUAAGUUUAUAUUAGAAAGAAGAGAUUGAUAUUAGAAGUUAAAGAAUUGUGGUUUUAAAUUUUGAGUUUUGAAAUGUUAAGAAGAUAUUGAGGUUAAAAGGAAGAUAUGUUUGUAAUAUAUGAAGUAGAAUAUAAGAAAGAUGGGGUUUAGGGUUUGGGGUUUCUGAUUUUAGAGGUUUAGAAAUUUACCUCGUUAAAAACUCGUAAUUUACGAGGCAUUUACGAGGACCAGAAAGACAGACCUCGCUUAUUCGUCGUUGGAUUUGGGAUGGGCCUCGCAAUUUCCUCGUAAGUUUACGAGGAUUUUACGAGGAAAUAAAAGACGGGCCUCUUUAAUUCCUCGUAAAGCUACGAGGAAAUUGCGACGCCUUCGUAAGUUAUAUUAGAAGUUAAAGAAUUGUGGUUUUAAAUUUUGAGUUUUGAAAUGUUAAGAAGAUUAUAUUUUCAAAUCUUCAAAAGAUUAUAUUUUUGUUGCAAAAUAGAAAAUUUAAAUAAAUAAUUUGAUUUUGUAUAAGUUUAUAUUAGAAAGAAGAGACUAAUAUUAGAAGUUAAAGAAUUGUGGUUUUAAAUUUUGAGUUUUGAAAUGUUAAGAAGAUAUUGAGGUUAAAAGGAAGAUAUGUUUGUAAUAUAUGAAGUAGAAUAUAAGAAAGAUGGGGUUUAGGUUUUGGGGUUUCUGAUUUUAGAGGUUUAGAAAUUUACCUCGUUAAAAACUCGUAAUUUACGAGGCAUUUACGAGGACCAGAAAGACGGGCCUAGCUUAUUCGUCGUUGGAUUUGGGACGGGCCUCGCAAUUUUCUCGUAAGUUUACGAGGAUUUUACGAGGAAAUAAAAGACGGCCUCUUUAAUUCCUCGUAAAGCUACGAGGAAAUUGCGACGCCUUCGUAAGUUAUAUAUACAACUCAAACCUCACACUCUCCAUUCGUCCCAACUUCCUCUCCAAUUCCUCCCCAUUUCCUCUCCAACUCCUCUCCCAUUCCUCUCUCCUUCGAAAUGGCGAGUCAUCGGGCACACAUGACGAGGAGGAUGUUACGAGGAGGAGCGAGGAAUUCUACGAGGCGAUGAACGAGCCUUAGUUUUUUUUCCGGUUUAUGUAUUAUAAAAUCCAAAACUUAUUUAUAUAUAAAAUAUUUUGUUGCAUUUGAAUUUUGUUUAAAAUUUAUUUAUAAACCACAAAUAUUUAAAUA